rnacentral:rRNA from 1 species
UACGGAGGGUGCAAACGUUGCUCGGAAUCAUUGGGCGUAAAGCGCGCGUAGGUGGCUUGGUAAGUCCAUGGUGAAAUCCCUCGGCUCAACCGAGGAACUGCCGUGGAUACUGCCGAGCUUGAGAACGGGAGGGGUAAGUGGAACUCUCGGUGUAGCGGUGAAAUGCGUAGAUAUCGAGAGGAACGCCGGUGGCGAAAGCGACUUACUGGACCGUUUCUGACACUGAGGCGCGAAAGCUAGGGGAGCAAACAGG